rnacentral:tRNA from 2 species
UUAAUUGAAACCAAAAAGAGGUAUAUUACUGUUAAUAAUAUCAUUGAACAAAUUCCAAUUAAA